rnacentral:rRNA from 1 species
UACGUAGGGUGCGAGCGUUAAUCGGAAUUACUGGGCGUAAAGCGUGCGCAGGCGGCUUCGCAAGUCAGACGUGAAAUCCCCGGGCUUAACCUGGGAAUGGCGUUUGAAACUACGGAGCUGGAGUGUGGCAGAGGGAGGUAGAAUUCCACGUGUAGCGGUGAAAUGCGUAGAUAUGUGGAGGAAUACCGAUGGCGAAGGCAGCCCUCCUGGGCCAAUACUGACGCUCAUGCACGAAAGCGUGGGGAGCAAACAGG